rnacentral:rRNA from 1 species
CCUACGGGUGGCAGCAGUGAGGAAUAUUGGUCAAUGGACGGGAGACUGAACCAGCCAAGCCGCGUGAGGGAUGAAGGCACUGUGGGUUGUAAACUUCUUUUGUAUGGGAAUAAAGCAGGGUACGUGUACCCGCUUGUGUGUACCUUAUGAAUAAGGAUCGGCUAACUCCGUGCCAGCAGCCGCGGUAAUACGGAGGAUCCGAGCGUUAUCCGGAUUUAUUGGGUUUAAAGGGAGCGUAGGUGGUUUGUUAAGUCAGUUGUGAAAGUUUGCGGCUCAACCCUGAAAUUGCAGUUGAAACUGGCAGUCGUGAGUACAGUAGAGGUAGGCGGAAUGCGUGGUGUAGCGGUGAAAUGCUUAGAUAUCACGAAGAACUCCGAUUGCGAAGGCAGCACACUAGCC